rnacentral:rRNA from 1 species
UACAUAGGGUGCAAGCGUUAAUCGGAAUUACUGGGCGUAAAGCGUGCGUAGACGGUUAUGUAAGUCGGGUGUGAAAGCCCCGGGCUCAACCUGGGAAUGCCAUUCGAGACUGCAUAGCUAGGGUGCGGAAGAGGGAAGCGGAAUUUCCGGUGUAGCGGUGAAAUGCGUAGAUAUCGGAAGGAACCCCAGUGGCGAAAGCGGCUUCCUGGUCCAGCACUGACGUUCAGGCACGAAAGCGUGGGGAGCAAACAGG